ensembl:lncRNA
CUUUGGGAAAUUAGUGAUGUUUGAUGUUUGCCAGUGGGUGUCCUUAUCCACAGUCAGUUUUGGGGAGCUUUGGUUUUGUGUGUGCAUGUCUUUAUGAGAUGGAAGCUGUACCAAGUUCAAGAGCUGGAAUGCCCCCAUCAAAUGUCAACAACCUGUUUGGAGCACCCAUCUAUAAGAUACUCUGGAUUUUGAUCCCUAGGGCAGCCAAAGAUGGAGAAGCUCUAUACACUCAACAAAAACAAGACCAGGAGCUGACUGUGGCUCAGAUCAUGAACUCCUUAUUGCCAAAUUGAAGAAAGUAGGGAAAACUGCUAGACCAUUCAGGUAUGACCUAAAUCAAAU